AUUGAACGCUGGCGGCAGGCCUAACACAUGCAAGUCGAACGAGUGGCGGACGGGUGAGUAAUGUCUGGGAAACUGCCUGAUGGAUGGGGAUAACUACUGGAAACGGUAGCUAAUACCGCAUACUAUCAGAUGAGCCUAGGUCGGAUUAGCUAGUUGGUGGGGUAAAGGCCUACCAAGGCGACGAUCCGUAACUGGGCUGAGAGGAUGAUCAGCCAAACUGGAACUGAGACACGGUCCAGACUCCUACGGGAGGCAGCAGUGGGGAAUAUUGGACAAUGGGCGCAAGCCUGAUCCAGCCAUGCCGCGUGGGGGAAGAAGGCCUUCGGGUUGUAAAGCCCUUUUGUUGGGGAAGCGGUACCAAAAGAAUAAGCACCGGCUAACUUCGUGCCAGCAGCCGCGGUAAUAC
rnacentral:rRNA from 1 species